rnacentral:rRNA from 1 species
UACAGAGGUGGCAAGCGUUGUUCGGAAUUACUGGGCGUAAAGGGCGCGUAGGCGGCCUUGUAAGUCCUGUGUGAAAUCCCCCGGCUCAACUGGGGAACUGCACAGGAGACUGCUUGGCUUGAGUUCGGGAGAGGGAAGCGGAAUUCCGGGUGUAGCGGUGAAAUGCGUAGAUAUCGGGAGGAACACCAGCGGCGAAGGCGGCAAACUGGACCGACAUUGACGCUGAGGAGCGAAAGCUAGGGGAGCAAACGGG